rnacentral:rRNA from 1 species
CAGUAGCCGCGGUAAUACAGAGGGUGCGAGCGUUAAUCGGAUUUACUGGGCGUAAAGCGUGCGUAGGCGGCUUCUUAAGUCGGAUGUGAAAUCCCUGAGCUUAACUUAGGAAUUGCAUUCGAUACUGGGAAGCUAGAGUAUGGGAGAGGAUGGUAGAAUUCCAGGUGUAGCGGUGAGAUGCGUAGAGAUCUGGAGGAAUACCGAUGGCGAAGGCAGCCAUCUGGCCUAAUACUGACGCUGAGGUACGAAAGCAUGGGGAGCAAACAGGAUUAGAGACCCCCGUAGUCCCUGUCUCUUAUAC